GAUUUAUACCUUUUCUUUUAUGUUAUUUACGUUCCUUUUUUUUGUUUGUUUGUUUGUUUGUUAGGAGGGGAUGUUGUUUCUGUUCUAUAUUUGGGUAUUCUUUUACAAUUUGCAUUAUUCCUAAACCAAUGCAUGCUUCAACAAUUGUGUGAUAAAUAAUACUUCAAAAAAAAGACCUUUUUUUUUUUUUUUGGUGGAUAUAAAAUAUUAUGUGUUAAUUGACACACAGUACAUUUGCUUAAAGUAAAAAGUGAAUUUUGCCAGAAAAAUUAUAUUGCUUAGUUACCAAUUACUGUAUUUUCUUUUUUCUUUUUUUUUUUUCUUUUUUUUUUUUUCCCUUCUGCUUCAAAGCAAUGGCAGAUGAAGCUUCACAAAGUCUAAGUCUGAAGGUCCUGGUGGAUGAAGAGACGGAUCAAGUUGUUUUUGCCGAGUCCGAUAACGAUUUUGUUGAUGUUCUAUUCAGCUUCAUGACUAUGCCCAUUGGAAACAUUAUUAGACUCAUCCUUCAACAAGCAUUUAAAUGGGAGAUUGGUUGCCUGAACAACUUAUAUGAAAGUAUUGAGAAUCUUGACGAUAAGCAUCUGCAGAGUGUGGGGUGCAAGGACAUGCUGCUACGUCCUCGGAGUGCUGCUGAAAUUUCCUGCACAAACCUUAAACUAGAUUUUGUUAAUUGUAAUACUUGUGAGUUCUAUGCAUGCGGAUUUUGGUCCGUGCCGCAGCCGCAAUGCACUUUGUGUCCUUACCGUACUGGUAGUUGCUAUUGUGGAGCCAACAGAAAUAUUAUGUGGAAAGUUAAAAAUCGUAUCUCUGUUCCUCCAGUUGGAGGGGUUUUUGUGAAACCCACCUCAUGCUUUAUGAUAACAGAUGACUUUCAAGUACUGCCCACGUCCACUGUGACUUGCUUAACCUUGCUUAAAGAGCUUGGACCUGUGGAUGGAAGGAUAAAAGAGAGGAGUAUAAACAUAGGAAAGGAUGAGGUUCUGAAUAUGCUCAAGUGUUCAUUAACAUCUAUAACACCUUUUUCUGAGACAAUCUUGGAAUCACCUGCCAAAAGAACAAGGUUUGCAAAUCGUCAUGGAGAAUUCAUUCCGAGAAGCACAGAUGAAUCUCAAAGGGCCAUGGGCACAACAAAUAAAGAGGCAAAGAUAGCUUUGAAGCUUAUCAUCAACAAAUGUAAUAACAAGGCAUUGUAUGUUGAAGCUAGGGAAGAUUUUGCUAAUCUCAUCAGCAGUUUUCUCACCAUUCCACUUGGUUACGUCUUUAAAGAAUUUCCAUGUUUGUCACUGAAGGGAUGCUUGGCUAAUGUAUACAAGAGCAUCCAGGCUCUUGAUGUUGAUGAAUUCCUGAUAUCUGAGGAGAUUAAGGCAACUUUAGUCAAUCCAAAGAUGGCCCCUGGAAUACCUUACAAUAAGCAGCUCAUCCCCAUCGAGGAAGGUUUAUGUCCGUAGCAGUCAACUGUUUCUUCCCUUUAUGAAGUAUACAAGUCUAAGGCAACAGUGGCUAUAGUUGGCGAGAGAUUCAUGAAAGGACCGUCAAAAUAUAUGGUGACAGACAAUUUGACCAUAACACCUUUCUGGCCCAUCUCAGGCUUAUCUCUUAGUAACAAAUUGAAUAUACCCAUCAGUGACAUUGUAGAACGAGAAGUAACCAUUGGUGAGGAGGAGGCUUUGCGUCUACUAGAGGCUGCUUUUGUUUCAGGAUCUGCUCUGACUGAUGCUUUAAUACUGAAGGAGCCAAAACAACAACCACCAGGGUUUAUGUUCUCAUCUAAUGGAGGCUCCCACAAGCCUAGUUUUCCAAGGUCAUUCAUGGAGGCUUAUGAGUGAUUCCUAAAGGCAAAACAAUUACCAAGAAGAUGGAGAUCCAAGAAGAAGGCAUCUUGCUAAGGGAUCUACAAUAAGUGAGAACAUUCACUUUAGAGGAAAGUUUUAAAGGUUUACUCAGACCUUUGAUGUAAGUAUUCAAUUUGUUAAUUGAAUGAUACAUCAUAUUUUUAUUUUUGCGUAAAACUUGUCUCUAUGUGAUGAAUCAAGAUCUAUGAAUCAAAAUCCCUCGAAAAGUUUUUAAAACUUGCACGUUUCCCAAUAGUGGUAUCAGAGCCAUGGUUUGAUUCAUUACUAGAGAUCAUGAUUUUAUGAAAAUCAUCAUUCAUGGAUCCAAAUUUAUAUAUGCAUAUGUGUAUAUUUUUAUAUGAUCAUGAUGUAUGUAUAUUUGUGAUUGGAUGAAUGUUGAUGAAUGUUUGGGCCAUGGAUGAAGCUUAUAGGUUAUUGGAAUGUAAUUUUAUCUUUGGAUGAAUGUAAUUAAGGUUUUGAUUUAGCCGUUUGAAAGUUUAAUGAUGUAAUUUAAUUUUUUCCAUUGUAUUUCAAAUUGUAAAUUUAUUUAAAGCUAUGUAAUCUUCAUCAAAGGAUGUUAUGAAGCUUCAAGAAGGUCCAAGAGGGUUAAAUUAGGCUUCAGGAAUUUUCUAGGGUUUUUUAGAAAUUUUUCAGAAUUUUUCUGGAAUUUUUUAAGGCCUAAUUUAAUUUCUGAAAUUUUUUUAAUUUAAUUUCUGGUAUUUUUCGGCAAUUUUCCGGUGACCUUUGAUGCUAGCCGGCGGCGAGAGGUACUGCUGGAAGUCUUGAUCAAUCAGGUGUGACGCGGUACACAAUCAUACUAUGCAACCUGAUGAGUUACCGCUGGAUUAAAUCAACAUAGGAGCUUUUAUCACAUGUGGCGCGUGGGAUGGUGCAAUCAGCACCUUAGGAACAAAGCUGGCGCGUGUUCCUCACGCGCCAGUACAUUCAGAAGCUCAACGCACGUGGCAGCGCGUGAUGGCGCGUGCCACGCGCCCAAUGAUUUCACCAGCGCGUGGCAGCGUGUGAAGGCGCGUGCCACGCGCCUAUGGCUAUUCCAAGCGCGUGGGGAUGCAUACUAGCUUCCUUAGGCGCAUGCCAGUGCGUAUAGGAUCCUCCGGGCGCGUUCCAAGUAGCGUUUUGCUUAUCCUAACGCGUACCAGCUUCCUAUAGGUGUUGACGGACUGUUGAAGGAUGCCCGUACAAUACUUAGAGUAACUAAAUGUUAAAAGCUGAAUCCAUUGGCCAUUUAAAUUGCUUCUGUCUGUUAUUUAUUUAUUUAACUGAUGCAUGGAAUAAUUAAUUG